rnacentral:lncRNA from 1 species
GAGCAAGCACUAAUCAGCUUAGAGAAAGGAUCACUCAUUCCUCAGAAAGAAGCAGACACAGAACAAAUGCUGUCUCUUUUGCAAGGAGCUUUUGGAACAAAGGAGCAGGCAAAUUGCACCAAACAGCCUAUAGUCUUCAAAAGGGAGGAACGAUGAAGCCUUUGCUGUAUAGCUUCUUUCUGCAGGCUUUUGAAGUCUCUUAGGUGGUGUUCGCUGUAGUGGAAUGGUGCGGGUUCUACACAGGUUUUACUCAGUUUUCCACAUUGUGAGGCUAUGGAAAAAUACAAUGAAAACUUUGAAGAAGGUGGAAACAUCUGAAAAAUCAUUGGCAAAUUAUUACAGAUUCCCUGCCAGCAAUUCCAGUGCUACUCUUCAAGAGAACAAACUGGAUUUAAAGCUUUUAAUGAGACAGCAAAUGGCAGAUUGUUUCCCCUCACUUUUCAUGCUGCUAAACUCUGCUGGAAGAUGCAGCAAUGGAAGUCCAGAAAAAAUGAUUCGUGCAGAGCAUGGUUACGUAUACAACAUGCACAAACUCUUUAAAGAGCAAGUGAAGACUGCAAAGUUAGGAACUGCCAGAUGAAAAGGCUAUAGAGAAAAAAAAUGAGCCCACAAGAUGCAGCCAGAAAGAGUAGGUCAGGUUAGAAGGAAAGAAAUAAAACACCAGCUACAUACA